UACGAGGGGUGCAAGCGUUGCUCGGAAUUAUUGGGCGUAAAGGGUAGGUAGGUGGUCUCAUUUGUCUGGGGUGAAAGCCUUGAGCUUAACUCGAGAAGUGCCCCGGAAACGGUGAGACUGGAGUCCUGGAGAGGGUCGUGGAAUUCCCGGUGUAGCGGUGAAAUGCGUAGAGAUCGGGAGGAACACCAGAGGCGAAGGCGGCGACCUGAACAGGCACUGACACUCAACUACGAAAGCGUGGGGAGCAAACAGG
rnacentral:rRNA from 1 species